rnacentral:sRNA from 1 species
UAAUUUGUAUUUUGCUUCUGUUUCAUUGAAAAAAUGUUAGUGGUUCUUUAUUUGUCAUGCUUUCACAAUAUUGUCUGAAGAAAUUUUGGAAUAUUUUUUUGCUUCAAUUUAUUAAAAUUUGUAUUUUCUUAUGUGUAACAGGAAGGACAACAUUUAAGUAUGACCAGUUCUUUGAUCGUGUUUUACUCAGAAAUCAAAUAAUCUCUAGGUGGGAGUUAAGUGUUUUUGUAUUCUUCAGAUAUGUGUUUAUUGUUACAAUUGAAUAAAAUUAUUUUUCAACAC